rnacentral:rRNA from 1 species
CAAAAACAUCGCCUCUUGACAUGUUAUAAGAGGUCCAGCCUGCCCAGUGACUCUGUUCAACGGCCGCGGUAUCCUAACCGUGCGAAGGUAGCGUAAUCACUUGUUCUUUAAAUGAGGACUAGUAUGAAUGGCACCACGAGGGUUAUACUGUCUCCUCUUUCUAAUCAGUGAAAUUAAUCUCCCCGUGAAGAAGCGAGGAUUAAGCUAUAAGACGAGAAGACCCUAUGGAGCUUUAAACAAAGUUACACCUGCAUCAAUUUAAUACAAAUUUCAGAAAAUCUUCUUAGCCCAUGCAAAUUGUUUACUAGUUUUAGGUUGGGGUGACCGCGGAGCAAAAAGUAACCUCCACAUUGAAAGGAGCCUAAUCCUUAGCUAAGAGCCACACCUCCAAGCACCAAUAAAAUGACAUCAAUUGACCCAAUAAUUUGAUCAACGAACCAAGUUACCCUAGGGAUAACAGCGCAAUCCAUUUCAAGAGCCCCUAUCGACAAAUGGGUUUACGACCUCGAUGUUGGAUCAGGGUAUCCCAGUGGUGCAGCCGCUACUAAAGGUUCGUUUGUUCAACGAUUGAAACCCU